UUGAACCGCAUGGUUCAGACAUAAAAGGUGGCUUCGGCUACCACUUACAGAUGGACCCGCGGCGCAUUAGCUAGUUGGUGAGGUAACGGCUCACCAAGGCGACGAUGCGUAGCCGACCUGAGAGGGUGAUCGGCCACACUGGGACUGAGACACGGCCCAGACUCCUACGGGAGGCAGCAGUAGGGAAUCUUCCGCAAUGGACGAAAGUCUGACGGAGCAACGCCGCGUGAGUGAUGAAGGUUUUCGGAUCGUAAAGCUCUGUUGUUAGGGAAGAACAAGUGCCGUUCAAAUAGGGCGGCACCUUGACGGUACCUAACCAGAAAGCCACGGCUAACUACGUGCCAGCAGCCGCGGUAAUACGUAGGUGGCAAGCGUUGUCCGGAAUUAUUGGGCGUAAAGGGCUCGCAGGCGGUUUCUUAAGUCUGAUGUGAAAGCCCCCGGCUCAACCGGGGAGGGUCAUUGGAAACUGGGGAACUUGAGUGCAGAAGAGGAGAGUGGAAUUCCACGUGUAGCGGUGAAAUGCGUAGAGAUGUGGAGGAACACCAGUGGCGAAGGCGACUCUCUGGUCUGUAACUGACGCUGAGGAGCGAAAGCGUGGGGAGCGAACAGGAUUAGAUACCCUGGUAGUCCACGCCGUAAACGAUGAGUG
rnacentral:rRNA from 1 species